UUGUAUGGGUGCUGUGCUUGGGACGAAUGCUGUUACCUACAACAGAGUGAGAGUGAAUAGUCCUUUGCUCUUCUGUCAAAGGCCUCAGUGGGACUUUGGAGUCACCUUUUUUAGAAGAUCCUAUGUGAUUUAGGAUUCCUUCACAUGGAGAUUUCUGAGACUUCUGCCAGCCAUGUACAUCCCUCUGUGGAGAUCCUGUGAAAACUCAUCUUCUACAUUUUCCCACUGAAAACUCAUCUUGGUUUGGGGGGCUGGGAGCUCCCAUAUAGCCCAUGGGUAUAUGGGGCUUUUGCUGCUCCAGUGUGGGCACUGUAACCUCACAGACAUCUCAUGCUGCAUCCUUGUAGGCAUUCAGAGACUAACACAUUUGUUUUUCUUGCCUUUGCAGACUGCUCUGACAAGGAGAGACCCCCAGACAACCAUCCCACCUUAUCCUCACGUUGCUGCCGGCCUCCUCAUGCACAUGCUGCCUUCCUGGGAGAAUGCUGCAACUCCUCCCUAAGACCCCACAUGCUGUGUCUGCACCUCCAGCCAGAUCAUCUUGUCUAGUCUCUGGGCCUAACCUGUGGCUGUUGGCACUGACACAUGGAGCUAGAGCUGUAGCAGAGUCUCCAGGAGGACAGGGAGGUCACGUAGUACAACAAACUGUCAUGGAGCCAGGUCCCAGAUGGGAGAACACCCAUAAACCAGAAAAUGUUGCCUCCUGUUUUGUAGGAAGUCAGGAGCCAGCCCAAUUGAGAAGCAUGAAAGCAUCAACUUGGUCUUUGGCUCCUCCUUGGCCCAAAUGGGAGCCAAGAGGCCAAGGAGCAAGCUGGUUUCCAGCUUGUGGAUGCAGAACUUGUCAUAUUUGGGCUCACCAUCAGCUGAAUUUCUUGACAAGGCUUCCAGGCACAGCCAGGGACUAGCAGAAAGUCAGACUCUUCUGCCAUUGCCUAACUGGAGACACAGCAACAGGAGAGCCAGAAAUUUUUCAUUCCUGAAGCCAUGAGCUGCAUGCUCCCUGUCAGCCCCAUGAGCUGGGAAGCACCUCACUCACCUGCUCUGUCACGUAGCCCCAGCACCCCAGGUCAGCCAGGAGAUACAGAUCUGGCUGGGGGAGUCUCGGCUGCCCUGUGCCUCAGGUCUCACCGACAGUCAUGGCAGGGCUGAGUCUUUUUUCUUACGGCUGUGUCUUGGGCAACCCCCAGCUGUUAUGGGGUCACUCUGAGGCCCCUCUAUAACACUAAACCCAGAAAACUUGAUUUCUCAAAGAUCUUCACACAUGUAUGUGCAUCAGCCCCCUUAGCAGUAGCAUUUGUAUCUCCCUCCAGUCAAGCAGGCUGUCCACCUGGAGAUUUAUUACACUGCUGCUAGCAAAACACGUGUGGCCUGGAGCAGCUGUCAGUGACCACUGACUGCCCUCUCUUUCCCCAGCAGUGAAAUUUUCAGCUUCGAGGCACAACACUGUGCAGCAAGGGUAUUUUCUGCCUUGGCCUGACCUUCACUGUUAGCCUCAGGAUCCACAUCUGUUGCAUCACAAAAAAUUGCUCCUGCUAUGACGUCCUUUAUCAAGAAAAGCAUCAUAAGGUUAUUGUCUUCUGAUAUAAGGAGUAGGAAGCAAUCACAUGCUUGUCCAGGCCAAGAAAAGUACAUGACUCAGGCAACCACAGGGACUUCCUUCUUGUUUGAUAGUAAUCACCCCUCCGUACUGGGGUCCUUUUCCUUGUGAAUGAAUGAGGCUGAGGUAACCUGGUCCCCCACUUCUUUAAAGUGAGGAUGCUUUUUUACGCAGUUGAAGAACAGAAAAGGCUAUUUUUCUCCUCCCAUUCCUCUUCAGACUGAGGAUGAUGUCUCCAUUUCUCAACCCAUUGUUACUGUUUUAUGUUCUAGGAUGAACUUCACAGAAAUAAACAGGAUUUGAUCAUUUUUGAGCUUGCCCUGACCCCCUGAGGGCUGGACCCUUCCUGAACACCCUUUUGCCUGGAACAGGUGCAUAGAAAUGGACCUACGCUGCCUGCUCUGGACACUCAAAAUAAAUAUGGACACAGCAGCAUUAAGGCAGGCGUGCAUCCCUUCAGAGACAGUCAGUGUUCACGAGGCAGCCAGGCAAGAUGUUCUCUACAUGGAAAACAACUUCACACGAGCACCUCAUAAAUUUGGUGAAAUAACUGGAAGAUUAAGUCAAGUCUCAAAGACAAGAUGAAGCAUAUAGACCUGCUGAGAUGCCUUCAAAAGGGAGGCAAGAAAAUACACUGA